rnacentral:rRNA from 1 species
CAGUAGCCGCGGGAAUACGGAGGGUGCAAGCGUUGUCCGGAUUUAUUGGGUUUAAAGGGUGCGUAGGCGGCCUAAUAAGUCAGUGGUGAAAGCCUCCAGCUUAACUGGAGAACUGCCAUUGAUACUGUUAGGCUUGAGUAUACUUGAGGUAGGCGGAAUUGACAGUGUAGCGGUGAAAUGCAUAGAUAUUGUCAAGAACACCAAUUGCGAAGGCAGCUUACUAAAUUAUAACUGACGCUGAGGCACGAAAGUGUGGGUAUCAAACAGGAUUAGAGACCCCCGUAGUCCCUGUCUCUUAUAA